UGGCACUUAUGUUGAUCGGAAGG
rnacentral:siRNA from 1 species